UGAUGUGAGGGUGAUUUGGCUGUGACAUGUCGCCAGGGUUGAUUUGGCUGAUCUGGCUGGGUAGGCGGGUGUCCCCUUCCCCCCUCACUGCUCCAUGUGUCUCUCCCAAAGCUGCAUGCUCCGCUGAAAAGGAUGGCCUUCCCCAAGAGACCAACAAGUCUUCUGUCGAGGGUGUACAAGUAGUUGUGCUCCCCAGCUAGAACCUCCAAAUGAGAUAGAGACAGAAAGACACCUGCAACCCUACUCCACCACCUGCUUCCCCCCACCCCCGUAGGUGGGGACCAGGGGCUUGAACCUGGGU
rnacentral:snRNA from 1 species